rnacentral:lncRNA from 1 species
AGAGGGCGUGUAAGAGGCUCUCGGGUGUGUGGCUCUUGCUCUGUGUAACCCCCUCAUACUAGAGUUCUGCUUCAUGGUGUAGAAAUUAGGGCUGAGGGAGUUCUAAAAAGGCUUUGCUGAGUGUGGCACGCAGUGGUGAGGGGAAACUGCUGUCUUGUUGUAGAGUGCUGUCCUCUAUGCAUGACAUGACAUGACAUGGCAUGACCAUCACCAUUUUGAAUACGCAAUAGGAAGCCUACCCCAGACUGGGCCUAUUUGUGUUCCAUGUAGCCAGGAGUGGUCCACGAAGCUCCACACUCCCCCCACCCCCCUUCAGGAUUUAUAAGCAGUUAAUGGUUUCUAGCUGGGAAACAUUCACAAAGCCCAGCCCUUCCAUAGGCUAAAUAAACAGUUAAUGGUGGCUGAGAGACACUUUCUCCAGUGAUGCAGUCACCCAUGAGGAACCCAUGCUCCAGUAGGCAACACCAAAUUAAAUCAUCGCUUCACCAAACUAGGCUAGGAGGUUUUUCCUUUGGCCUGUUGUUGGAACGCACUCUGAGUGAGUAGGCAUUUGUCUGUCCUCCUCAGACAAGUUCAUGCAUUUAUCACAGCCAGUGCCUCUGAGCAGUUACUACUUCUCUUAUCUCAAAGUAGACACUGGAUGGCUGACUCUUGAGGAGAUGCCCAGGGAGUAGCAUACCUUUUUGGUUGAUUGGUUAGUUAGUUAGUUAGUUGGUUUUGGUUUUGGCUAGUUUUGGACAUCUGCAAGCAGGUACCUAUCAAGAUGUCUUGGAACUGAGCAUAUCACCUCUGCCUAGGACCCUGUCAGCAAAGCCCUUGGGAGUUGAACCCAUUGGUGUGGCUGUGUAGUAUAGAAUACGGUGACAUUGCCUAAACUGCCCCUGACCUCAUGACCUCCGGGAACCUCUCUGUUCUCUGGACUGCCAGAAUAAAGUGCUACAAACUUCUCAGAGCUCUGGAGGCUGAGAACCCAGGACCAAGGUGUCAACAGGGCUGAUUUCUUCCAAGGUCUCUGCUUUUGAGUUGCCUUAGAAGAAAUGGCCGUCCUACAACCAUCUUUCUGCAACCUUUUCUCAUCUCUAGCAUCAACCUGACUUCCUAAGGAUACCAGCCUGAUGGGAUAAGAAUCCUGUGAACUUCUUCACUUCAGAAAGGCCCUCCCAAUGUGUUGUACUCUGAGAUCCUUAGGGAAGGGCUUGAAUUUAUUCAUUUAGUUCCCCUUUCUGGGCCUAACACCUCCUAAGUCACUAACAUCCUGAGUGAAAACAGUAGUUGUGCUAUAGAAAGCUGUCAUGACCUAGCACAAGAACCACUGUAAGGCUCCAGAUAUGUCCUUUCAAGAAUCCACAGUCUGGAGUGACUCUCAGCACUGAGAUCUGCAUGAUCUGAAACUCAUAGAAGCCUCAGCCUCCAUGAUGAGGGGUCAUUCUGCACCUCCUUUGAGCUUACCUAUGUUCCUUCUGUUUGCUGUGUGUUACUGGCUAUAGGAAUGUGGUUGCCACAGUCCUGCAGCUUUUCAGAGAGCAUUUGGGAUAGUAUCCCUCUCGUAAAUAAGUGCUGGAGACAAUUAUGACUUUCACUUGGGAAAGAAUAUCCUGCAACCGAUAAGUUCGUUUCCUUGUGCAUUGUGAAGUCCUAGAUCACAAAUGGCUUCUCAAAGACCCAUGAGAUGAGUCUGCAGCCAAAAGUUCUUGCUGCCACCCUUGAUGACUUGGGAUAGUGAAAGGAGAGACACAAGUCCUUCAAUGUCCUCUGACUUUCACAUACAUUCCAUGGCAUGCCCAUGCCUAUAUAUAUGCCCAGAUACAUAUCCCAUUUAAAAAUGUAAUAAAAAGUUAAGUGAAUGCUUGAAGGGACUACUGGUCCCGAAAGGUCAUAACUUGCACCCUCUGGCAGGCUACUGCCGGUGACAUGGUAUGGCUGGGCCUGAGUCUGGUUCUCUAAGUCAGCAUGCACAGUCUUUCUCCACUCUGUAGUUGCUCUUCCCCAAUUCUACAGGGACCACGUAACCAUCCAGCCUGUGGGGUGCUUUUCCCUGAAUGUUUCCACUGCUCCUGGCUUUCACUCUGCUAUUUACUCCUUUCAGAGUCCUCGGCAUCAAUUCUUCACUGUGUACUGGACAAAAUGAGUUGCAGGAAGCAGUGAUGAGGGACACAUAAUGCUCAGCUGAGUAUCGCCUCCCCCCUUCAGCCAUGGUGCUGCCACUUAGUUGCCCUGUGACCCAGAGUGCUGUAUUUCCAGCAUUUCCCCUAGAGGUUGAACAUACAUCUUGUCCCUGUGACCCUCAGGCUGUAGGCACCAGGUAUGCUCAUGUCUCUUCUGUACCCCACUCUUGUUGUGAACAUGGGAGAAAGAGGUCACAUGAUAGAUGUUUGCUGAGUUAUUGCUGUCAUGAGACAGGACUGUCAGAGCUUCCCUAGAGCAGUUCUAGAACACAUAUGUGAAGUGCAAACAAUAAAGAGCCAGCCACAUGUGCUCCAACCAGCACUGCAAGGCCUACCCAAGGCCCCAGCCCUGCAUGGCCCCUCCCCUUUCCAGCACCAAGCUUAUCAUUUAAAUGAGCAGAAUAUCAGUGUCUUCCUGAGUUGCUUCUUUCAAUCAAUGUGUUUAUGAAAACAGAUAUUUAAAGUCCUACAGAGACCACCAAUGUCUUAAGCUACUGUGGAAAAUCCCAUGUUACAAAUACCCAUCCGUUUUCCCCUGUCCACUGUCAGUGGACAUGGCAGUUUUCCCCAGAUUUUGCCUUUAAAACUGCUGCUGUUGCUACUGUACCUGUGAUAGUCAUCUGUCUAGUGUCCCAGCUGACUGCCAUCUGUGGGCAGGUGGCGGAAGAAGAGGGAGCUGGGCUGAGAAGGAGUUCCAGGAGUCUGGUGUCCCCUUGAGCCUCCUGCAGAAUACUGUCAUGAGUGUGUUUUGAAGGCAAGGCAGAAGCAGAACGGCUGGCGAGCUGACUGUCGAGCAUUCCCAGAGCACUGAACAUAACUAGACCCAGAAAAUAUAUGGGCAAGGGUGGCGAAUAUUUUCUCAGCAUUCUUAUUUUUAAAAUAAUCAACUACUCACAGUAAAAUUUAUUUUGUAUUACUCCCUAUUUGGGGUUUUAUAAUAUAUGUAGAAGUAAAAUACAUAACAAGUGUAGCACAGAAGAUAGGACUGGGGACUGGAAAUGCAUUGUGAUAUGUUUCUUAUGUUCCUGUGAGCAAGUGGGGACGUUAUUUAAGGGUAGAUGGUGAUAAAUCAUGAUGCAUAUUAACAAUACUAGACUGCCACUGAAAACCAAGACAUAGAGCUCAAAAUGAAAUGCUUAUUUUUAAAACAAAUCUAAAGGAAAACCAAGGAAAGGAAGAGUAGAUGGGAGAAAUAUUGAGCUGGAAGAUUCUAAUCCAACCACAUCAAUAAUUACAUUAAAUGUAAAUGUUCUUAAGAUUCCAGUAAAAUGGCAUAGAUGAAAAGACUUGUCUUU